GUGAAUCUCAUCAAUCAGUUCAAGGUCAUCAGAGAAAACUGAGAUUUCCCAAAGAAGAAUUGGGAAAUCCCAAAGAAGAAUUUGGCCUCUAAACUACAACACAGAACCGUGUCUAUUUCCAGCCCUCCUGGCCUGUCCCAUGGAAUUCAUCCUCAAGACUGCAUUCUGUUGUUAGGGAGGUAUGAUAUCAUUGAUGUUGGAUCUGGAUAGCACCAAAGAACAAAAUACAUCAGUGAAAUAAAGGUGAAAUUGCCCAGGAACAGAGCCUGGAAAUAGAAGUUGAGAAGAACUGAACAUCUCUACAUGAAAGAAUGAAAGGAUCUGGAGUUCCUAGAAGUGAACCAUCAGUGGCAGUUUGCAGAACUGGGGGAGAUGAAAGAAAUGUGGAAAAUGGAACCACAACUAAAUUAAUUGAUAACCCCAGAGAAAGACACUAGUUGGGAAUGAUCAAAAACAUUUUAAAAUCUGAAAACUGAAAGCUGACCUUAAAGUGACUCUUUUUUCUGGCUCACAAACACCACCUUCAUGUAUCACCACACCACACGUGCUAAGCGCACACUAAUUCAUGUGUGUCCGUGUGUGUGUGUGUGUGUGUGUGUGUGUGAUGAAGAGGCUAAUUUUCACAUCUGGGAAUAUACAAGACAGACAGUGGGGAGUGAAAGCCUGGAGUUAGAGGAGAUACAGGGAUAUAACUGUAAGAUGCUAGGUAGCCACAAAAUCUUCGGGAGUAUUUUGAACUUUGAAACAAGAGCAGGAUUUUUAAACCAAGUCUGACAAAAAACAAAUGUCCUUUAAUGAAACAGAUGAAAUGCAGUUUCUAGUUUGACAUAUUGAGUUGUUAUCAUCCCAAUGCACCAGACUUCAUCUUUAUUUUUGAAAUCAGAUGGAGCAGGAGGUUGCUGUAGAAUUAGGUAGCUUCUAUCCUCCUCUUUUUGGUCCACCUGAAGCACAAUUACUUUCUUUUCUUACAAACUUGGCAUUUUUAAGAAGCUUAUUUUUGUUGCAGUUGAGUACUUUGGAGGAGGUAUUUAAUAUAACUUAGUUUUAGUUAAACUUGUUUUAUACAUUUUUUACAUCAU